CUGAUACCAACUUAGGGCCAGUUUGGAUGCACAGUAAAAAAAUCUCCACGGAAUUUAUAAACUGUGGUUUUGGUCCAAAUGAAAUAGGGAAUCCCGUAACUCUAAAAAAAUUUCACGAAUUCAAUUUUUAAACUAUUUAAAUGCACAUUGUGCAAUUUCACGGAAUUUCUCUAAAUUUUAAAAUUAAAAGUAAAAAUUUCAAAUUUUAAAUUUCAAAUUUUUAUGAAAUUUAAAAUUAAAAUUUGAUAUGUGAAAUAUGAAAUUUUAAAUUUUAAAUUUUAAAAUUUUAAAAUUAAAAAUUUAAAAUAUAAAAAUCUAAAUUUAAUUUUAAAAUUUUGAAAUUUAAAAUUUUAAAAUAAAAAUUUUAAAUUUUAAAUUUUAAAUUUUAAAAAUAAAUUUAAAUUUUAAAGUUCAAAUU
rnacentral:lncRNA from 1 species